rnacentral:rRNA from 1 species
CUCCGACCUCAGAUCGGACGAGAUUACCCGCUGAAUUUAAGCAUAUAACUAAGCGGAGGAAAAGAAACUAACAAGGAUUUCCCCAGUAACGGCGAGUGAAGCGGAAAUAGCCCAGCACCGAAUCCCUCAGUGUCACGCUGACGGGAACUGUGGUGUGUGGGACGCCACCAGUCGCAUCAGUGGGCACCGAAGUCCUCCUGAUCGAGGCUUCACCCAGAGCGGGUGUAAGGCCUUUGCAGGUGCCCUACUGUGCGGCCGCGAGCGUCUCAGGAGUCGGGUUGUUUGGGAAUGCAGCCCAAAGCGGGUGGUAACUCCAUCUAA